GUGAUUUCUGAUGAGCGAUGACCCUGAUGUUAUGCCGAGAAGCAGAGCGGAAGGACUUCACUUGUCACACCCUCGUCUAGUUGGAGCCAGAGUCUGGAGAAGUCGUGCUGCCAGACACAGGCCUAAUAAACCCAGCCACGGAAGACGCCAUUCAGCUAUGAAUUAAAUACUCUCCUGUAGUUAAUUCCUGCACUUUGAUAGACAUGGCAGGAUUCAUACAGAGCCCAAUGCAAAUGAGAUUCUUUUAUUUAUUGUGUGCGCCUUAGAAAUGGGUUUCCUAGAAGGCCUUAACCCUGACUUUAACACCAUUCGUGUAAUUACAUCUAGAAAAGGGCAUUCUCUAGAGAAGACUCACUAUUCAUCCUUCAUUCAAAUUCCGGUGACCUUCCUUCUUACUUAGACCUCAAUGGAUUCCUGCCCACAGCCUAGAAAACACUGGAUACUAUGUUGAAAAAUUCACGUGGACGGCACCUGCCAGUAUGCGCUGGCCAAAAUAAUCCGGUUUGGAGCAUUGCAACAAAUGUUACUACGUAUGCUGAACAAAAAAAGAGUGAAAAACUAAUAGAACCAUAUAAAACUGAAUGAGAUGACAAGUCAGACUGAUAAAAGGACCGUUUCUCAGCAAGAAGACUUGGCUGGUUCUCUUUGCGGUGAACUUGUCAGUCUGUUGCAUUCAUUUCAAGUAAAUAUAGCGG